CUCGUAAGUAAAACACACUUAUUAAUUAACAGACACCACCACAUGCAUCAGUAAUCACCACAAAUGCAUGCUAAAAUCCAUUAUCUCUUCCACCUCUACUACACCACUACCACCACUCCUACCCUAAUCAACAAAACUUCCAAACCCACUACCGUCAUCUAUACUUUCAAUAUACCACAAAUCAACCUCCAACUUCAACUAUAGGAAAAUCAACUAGAGGAAUUGCUUGUCGUUGCGUGUGAUGAUCGAUCCAUCGACUUCGUUGCCAUAUUGUGCAUAGUGGCACCUGGAGAAUUCGAUCGUUGCUUUGGAGAAGUUGAGUACCACUGGUGAUACCAUCACUGCUGCGCGGGGCAAUCGGCACAUCGACUUCACCGGAUUGCUAGAUUGUGCAGUGUGUGAGAGUGAGUGAGAAAGGGUUGUGAUUGAGUGGAAUGUUGAAUUGGGUGAGAUCUU
rnacentral:lncRNA from 1 species